AACGUAGGACGCAAGCGUUAUCCGGAGUUACUGGGCGUAAAGCGCGGGCAGGCGGUCUUGCCAGUCUGAUGUGAAAUCUCCUCGCUCAACGGGGAGCAGCCAUUGGAAACUACAAGACUGGAGUCUGACAGAGGUAGGCGGAAUUCCGGGUGGAGUGGUGAAAUGCGUAGAGAUCCGGAGGAACACCAGAGGCGAAGGCGGCCUACUGGGUCAGUACUGACGCUGAGGAGCGAAAGCGUGGGGAGCGAACAGG
rnacentral:rRNA from 1 species